rnacentral:rRNA from 1 species
AAACGGGUGCGGAACACGUACACAACCUUCCUUGAAUAGGGGGAUAGCCCAUAGAAAUGUGGAUUAAUACCCCGUAAUAUAGCGGUGUGGCAUCACACUGUUAUUAUAGUUUCGGCGAUUCGAGAUGGGUGUGCGGCUGAUUAGGUAGUUGGCGGGGUAAAGGCCCACCAAGCCUUCGAUCAGUAGCUGAUGUGAGAGCAUGAUCAGCCACACGGGCACUGAGACACGGGCCCGACUCC